rnacentral:rRNA from 1 species
UGCUAGUCGUGCGGGUUAGACCCGCGGCGUAUAGCUCAGUAACACGUGGCCAAACUACCCUCCAGACGAGAGCAACCUCGGGAAACUGAGGCUAACACUCGAUAGGCGUUGCCAGGUUGAGCACGGCGACGCUGAAACGCUUUAGCGCUGGAGGAUGUGGCUGCGGCCGAUUAGGUAGACGGUGGGGUAACGGCCCACCGUGCCGAUAAUCGGUACGGGUUGUGAGAGCAAGAGCCCGGAGACGGAAUCUGAGACAAGAUUCCGGGCCCUACGGGGCGCAGCAGGCGCGAAACCUUUACACUGCACGCAAGUGCGAUAAGGGAACCCCGAGUGAAAGGGCAUAUCGCCCUUUCUUUUCUGAACCGUAGGGAGGUUCAGGAACAAGAGCUGGGCAAGACCGGUGCCAGCCGCCGCGGUAAUACCGGCAGCUCGAGUGAUGACCGAUAUUAUUGGGCCUAAAGCGUCCGUAGCUGGCCGCGCAAGUCCGUCGGGAAAUCCACCUGCUUAACAGGUGGGCGUCCGGCGGAAACUGUGGGGCUUGGGACAG